rnacentral:lncRNA from 1 species
UAUUGGGUAGCUAAAGUAAAAGGAAGUUGUAGUCAGUUAGCAUAACGUAUUAGGCGUUCACAGUCGAACUUGGAUGGUAGAACGAUUGUGACGAGUUUAGAAGAGUGUAAACGAAUAAACGAAUAAAAAUGGUAGACGAAUAGACGACGGAAGAAUAAAAGAAAGGAACGAGUUUAAAGAAUAAGAGAAGACAACCGAAUCAUAUUGAGAAUAUUUCAAUCCAAAAAAAGAGAAAGAACACUCUUUGAGGCUUGGAAACGAAAUGAUGUAACAACGGGAACUUGAACUCGCUUGAUAUGAAUUAUCAAUGCUUCGACAGAUCUAGAAGCUACAGGUAGAUGGCGUGCAGCAGAUAGAAAAAGUAAGUUGAGAACGCAACUUUGUAAUUAUACCACGACCAUUACACAGAAUUCAUAUUUACGAAUGAUUGUCGAAUUUGUCAGUGAAUUAUUAGACAAUAAACCCCAUCAUUUGAUCACUGGUGACUGACGUGGCCUGAAGAACGGAAAAUUCAGUAUCGGUCAUCAUUUCCUUAUAAAUUCGAGUGUUACUCAACGUGUUCUACAAAAAGGCAUUUGAAUGGGUUCAAUUCUAGAACCGAACACCUUCGAAUGACAUUUAACGAAUUAAUCGAAGAGUUAAGACGCACGUAUCGUCCGAGAUGCGGCAAGAUAGACAUGGGAAGGAAGUUUGAAGCAGGAAUUUUGAAGAAGGGUUGACAUUCCGAGAUUAUGCGCAUGACAAGAAGAUCACUAUGAGCAUCAUCGCGUACCGAUCGAUGAUAUCAAUAUUCUAAACUACUUUACCGACGAAAUCUUAAAUAUGUCAUUGCGUAUUCAUUGUUUUGUGACGAUAGAAUGUAUUUAAUCGACAAAGCAGUUAACAAAAAUACUACUAUGGGACCAAGAUUCAACGAGAUCUACGAAUUCGACUGGGGAGAAACGUAGCGUUUUAUCAGGAAAGCCAACUUAUCGCACGAAAAAUUGCAUUUAGUCGCAUUAGCGUGGCGAGCUCUGCGAGAGGGGACUCGAGCCGAAAUAUUCUCAUUGCGAGUAGCGUGGAUAAUGUUCGGCAAAUUGAGGCAAAUGUCCGAGGAAAAACGAGAAGGCGAAGGAGACGCAGGGCUGUGACGCAUGCCUCAUCUAAGAAGUAUAUUAAAACGGUAAUAAUUUUUGAUAAAAAUUGUAAAAUCCUUGAUCGACGCCACGAGCGACCUGCGAAGACGAGAGAAUCGAAUCGUCAAGGAUUGAUGAGCGUAUGCGUGCGAAUGAUUUGUUAAUUGAUACGCGAUUGAUUAGCGAAAAAUCAUGCUACUUAACGAUUGAGAUGAUUUACAAAUCAGAAAGACGAUAAAAAACGUUAGAUUUUGGGCGACGAAAGUAAAAGCGUUCACAGUCAAACUUAGACCGUAAAAGUAGAUGUUAAACGAAAAUAGACAAGUUUAGAAGAGUGUAGAUGAAUAAAUGAUAGACGAGUAAACGUCAUAAGAAUCGAAGUAACUAAGAAA